GUGCUCGCUUCGGCAGCACAUAGACUAAAAUUGGAACUAUACAGAGAAGAUUGGCACGGCCCUUUGCCCUGGGAUGACAUGAAAAUUCGUGAAGCGUUCCAUAUUUCA